rnacentral:rRNA from 1 species
GGUUCGAUCAUGGCUCAGAUUGAACGCUGGCGGGAUGCUUUAGCUGGUCGACGGCAGCACGGACUUCGGUCUGGUGGCGAGUGGCGAACGGGUGAGUAAUGUAUCGGAACGUGCCUAGUAGCGGGGGAUAACUACGCGGCGUAGCUAAUACCGCACGCCCUUCGAGGGAAAAUGGGGACCUUCGGGCCCUCGCACUAUUGCGACGGCCGAUAUCGGAUGGCUAGUUGGUGGGAGUAACGGCUCGCAAGGCGACGAUCCGUAGCUGGUUUGAGAGGACGAUAAGCCACACUGGGACUGAGACACGGCCCCGAACUCCUACAGGGGCAGCAGUGGGGGUACGGAUGAUGGAAACCCUGAUCCAGCUGCAUCCCGCGUGUGCGAUGAAGGCCUUCGGGUUGUAAAGCACUUUUGGCAGGAAAAACGGCACGGGAUAAUACCCGUGCAGCGAACACCUGCCAGAACAAAGCACCGGCUAACUACACGUGCCAGCAGCCGCGUGUACGUAGGUGCAAGCGUUAAAUCAAGAUUACUGGAGGCGUAAAGCGUGCGCAGGCGGGUUCGGAAAGAAGAUGUGAAAUCCCCAGAGCUUACUUUGGAACUGCAACACCGAGCUAGAGUGUGUCAGAGGGAGGUGGAAUUCCACGCCCAUUAGCAGUGAAAUGCGUAGAUAUGCGGAGGAACACCGAUGGCGAAGGCAGCCUCCUGGGAUAACACUGACGCUCAUGCACGAAAGCGUGGAGGAGCAAAGAGCAGGUUAGAUACCUGGUAGUCCACGCCCUAAACGAUGUCAACUAGCUGUUGGGGCCUUCGGGCCUUGGUAGCGCAGCUAACGCGUGAAGUUGACCGCCUGGGGAGUACAACAUUCGCAAGAUUAAAACUCAAAGGAAUUGACGGGGACCCGCACAAGCGGUGGAUGAUGUGGAUUAAUUCGAUGCAACGCAAAAACCUUACCUAUGACAUGUCUGGAAUCCCGAAGAGAUUUGGGGUGCUCGCAGAGAACCGGAACACAGGUGCUGCAUGGCUGUCGUCAGCUCGUGUCGUGAGAUGUUGGGUUAAGUCCCGCAACGAGCGCAACCCUUGUCAUUAGUUGCUGAAAGGGGCACUCCUAAUGGGACUGCCGGUGACAAACCGGAGGAAGGUGGGGAUGACGUCUAAGUCCUCAUGGCCCUUAUGGGUAGGGCUUCACACGUCAUACAAUGGUCGGGACAGAGGGGUCGCUUCAACCCGCGAGGGAGCCAAUCGAAACUUGAUCGUAGUCCGGAUCGCCAUGAUCUGCAACUCGACUGCGUGAAGUCGGAAUCGUAGUAAUCGCGGAUCAGCAUGUCGCGGUGAAUACGUUCCCGGGUCUGUACACACCGCCCGUCACACCAUGGGAGUGGGUUUUACCAGAGAAGUAGUUCAGCCUAACCCAUGGAGGGCAGUUACCACGGUAGGAUUCAUGACUGGGGGUGAAGUCGUAACAAGGUAG